GACAGAGGUGCCGAGCGUUAGGCGGAAUCACUGGGCUUAAAGCGUGUGUAGGCGGAUUUGUAAGUACCUUGUGAAAUCCCACGGCUCAACCGUGGAACUGCUUGGUAUACUGCUUAUCUUGAGCCACUUAGGGGCAGUCGGAACAGACGGUGGAGCGGUGAAAUGCGUAGAUAUCGGGAGGAACACCGGUGGCGAAGGCGGCGACCUGGGUCGAUACUGACGCUGAGGUGCGAAAGCGUGGGGAGCAAACAGG
rnacentral:rRNA from 1 species